GGGGGAACCCUUCUCCAGCCAUCCCGCGUGUAUGAUGACCGCCUUCGGGUUGUAAAGUACUUUUGGCAGAGAAGAAAAGGUAUCCCCUAAUACGGGAUACUGCUGACGGUAUCUGCAGAAUAAGCACCGGCUAACUACGUGCCAGCAGCCGCGGUAAUACGUAGGGUGCAAGCGUUAAUCGGAAUUACUGGGCGUAAAGCGUGUGUAGGCGGUUCGGAAAGAAAGAUGUGAAAUCCCAGGGCUCAACCUUGGAACUGCAUUUUUAACUGCCGAGCUAGAGUAUGUCAGAGGGGGGUAGAAUUCCACGUGUAGCAGUGAAAUGCGUAGAUAUGUGGGAGGAAUACCGAUGGCGAAGGCAGCCCCCUGGGAUAAUACUGACGCUCAGACACGAAAGCGUGGGGAGCAAACAGGGAUUAGAUACCCUGGGUAGUCCACGCCCCUAAACGAUGUCAACUAGCUUGUUGGGGGCCNUUUAGGNCCUUAAUANCGCNACCUAACNCCGUUGAAGUUNNACCNCCUGGGGGAAUUACGGUCCCCA
rnacentral:rRNA from 1 species